rnacentral:rRNA from 1 species
UAAGCGGAGGAAAAGAAACUAACAAGGAUUCCCCUAGUAACUGCGAGUGNAGCGGGAAAAGCUCAAAUUUAAAAUCUGGUGGUCUUUGGCCAUCCGAGUUGUAAUUUAGAGAAGCGUCUUCCGCGCUGGACCGUGCACAAGUCUCCUGGAAUGGAGCGUCACAGAGGGUGAGAAUCCCGUCUUUGGCAUGGACAUACCAGGGCUUUUGUGAUGCGCUCUCGAAGAGUCGAGUUGUUUGGGAAUGCAGCUCAAAAUGGGUGGUGAACUCCAUCUAAAGCUAAAUAUUGGCGAGAGACCGAUAGCGAACAAGUACCGUGAGGGAAAGAUGAAAAGCACUUUGGAAAGAGAGUGAAACAGUACGUGAAAUUGUUGAAAGGGAAACGCUUGAAGUCAGUCGCGUCGACCGAGACUCAGCCUCGCCUCGGCUUGGUGUACUUCUCGGCUGACGGGUCAGCAUCAAUUUCGCCUCUUGGAUAAUGGCGAGGGAAAUGUGACUCCUUUACGGUGUGUUAUAGUCUCUCGUCGCAUGCAAGGGUCGGGAUUGAGGAACUCAGCACGCGCCUUUGGGUGUCGGGGCUUUGCCCACGAUACGUGCUUAGGAUGUUGGCGUAAUGGCUUUAAACGACC